AGGCAAAAGCCAUUAAAAUCUUAG
rnacentral:snRNA from 1 species